rnacentral:rRNA from 1 species
AUUGAACGCUGGCGGAAUGCUUUACACAUGCAAGUCGAACGGCAGCACGGACUUCGGUCUGGUGGCGAGUGGCGAACGGGUGAGUAAUGUAUCGGAACGUGCCCAGUCGUGGGGGAUAACGUAGUGAAAAUUACGCUAAUACCGCAUACGAUCUAUGGAUGAAAGCGGGGGAUCGCAAGACCUCGCGCGAUUGGAGCGGCCGACAUCAGAUUAGGUAGUUGGUGGGGUAAAGGCCCACCAAGCCAACGAUCUGUAGCUGGUCUGAGAGGACGAGCAGCCACACUGGAACUGAGACACGGUCCAGACUCCUACGGGAGGCAGCAGUGGGGAAUUUUGGACAAUGGGCGAAAGCCUGAUCCAGCCAUUCCGCGUGCAGGAUGAAGGCCCUCGGGUUGUAAACUGCUUUUGUACAGAACGAAAAGGUUUCUACUAAUACUAGGAGCUCAUGACGGUACUGUAAGAAUAAGCACCGGCUAACUACGUGCCAGCCGCCGCAGUAA